AAUUGUUCUCUCUAAAAUUAAGUGAACGGUCGAAUCAUUGACAAUAAAUUCAACUCGCGCUUAGAAAGGGUUAAUAAAGCGGAAAUUUACUUGAAUGCUCUUAUCCAUUAAACACUUUUUGUGGCCUUUGGUUGUGAUUUGAGUGAAUGGCUGGACUUUACUUUUUAAAUUGAUCUAAGUCUUUAGGGUCAUAUUUAUUUGCAGUGCAAAUGCAGUAUUUUAAAGGGCAUUUUUUAUGAGUAUUUCAAACCUUGCUGACAUUGUUCGACGUCAACAAUGACGCGGGUGGAUAUGCGAAGAUGACGGUCGUCUUCGCCAGACUUCAAAUCGUCAUUUAUUGUUUCAUGGAGGCAUUGUUAAGUUUUCAUUGUCUAUAUAAACUAGUGUAUGACUUAACGCUUUUCGAAAGUAAUUAGUAAACGAUAAGAGAAAGAUGUAGACACUUUACACGGAGACGUUGGGAUUAAACACUGGAAGGACAGAGAUAAUGCAGAAUUGUCGCGUAUCACCAAUGCAAAUUAGCAAGUUUGGACGUUUUUUCUCUGAGAUAGA